GGGGGGCAACCCCCGAGUAGAGUGGCGAACGGGUGAGUAAUACAUCGGAACGUACCCAGUAGCGGGGGAUAACCUCUCGAAAGAGAGGCUAAUACCGCAUACGACCUACGGGUGAAAGAGGGGGAUCGCAAGACCUCUCACUAUUGGAGCGGCCGAUGUCGGAUUAGCUAGUUGGUGGGGUAAAAGCCUACCAAGGCGACGAUCCGUAGCUGGUCUGAGAGGACGGCCAGCCACACUGGAACUGAGACACGGUCCAGACUCCUACGGGAGGCAGCAGUGGGGAAUUUUGGACAAUGGGCGAAAGCCUGAUCCAGCCAUGCCGCGUGAGUGAAGAAGGCCUUCGGGUUGUAAAGCUCUUUCGGCUGGGACGAAAAGGUCCGUGCUAACACCACGGAUCCAUGACGGUACCAGCAGAAGAAGCACCGGCUAACUACGUGCCAGCAGCCGCGGUAAUACGUAGGGUGCAGGCGUUAAUCGGAAUUACUGGGCGUAAAGCGUGCGCAGGCGGUUUGCUAAGACAGGUGUGAAAUCCCCGGGCUUAACCUGGGAACUGCGCUUGUAACUGGCAAGCUAGAGUGUGGCAGAGGGGGGUGGAAUUCCACGUGUAGCAGUGAAAUGCGUAGAGAUGUGGAGGAACACCGAUGGCGAAGGCAGCCCCCUGGGCUAACACUGACGCUCAUGCACGAAAGCGUGGGGAGCAAACAGGAUUAGAUACCCUGGUAGUCCACGCCCUAAACUAUGUCAACUGGUUGUCGGGGAAGCAAUUCCUUGGUAACGAAGCUAACGCGUGAAGUUGACCGCCUGGGGAGUAC
rnacentral:rRNA from 1 species